GGACCCGCACAAGCAGUGGAGUAUGUGGUUUAAUUCGAGGCAACGCGAAGAACCUUACCAGGUUUGACAUCCUGCGCAAGACCUAGAGAUAGGUUGUUCCUUCGGGACGCAGAGACAGGUGGUGCAUGGUUGUCGUCAGCUCGUGUCGUGAGAUGUUCGGUUAAGUCCGGCAACGAGCGCAACCCUUGUUGUCAGUUACCAUCAUUAAGUUGGGGACUUUGGCGAGACUGCCGUUGACAAAACGGAGGAAGGUGGGG
rnacentral:rRNA from 1 species